AUACGGAGGGUGCAAGCGUUGUCCGGGUUUAUUGGGUUUAAAGGGUGCGUAGGUGGUUUUUUAAGUCAGUGGUGAAAGCCUACAGCUUAACUGUAGAGGUGCCAUUGAUACUGGGGAACUUGAGUAUGGACGAGGUAGGCGGAAUUUGUGGUGUAGCGGUGAAAUGCAUAGAUACCACAAGGAACACCGAUAGCGAAGGCAGCUUACUGGGCCAUAACUGACACUGAGGCACGAAAGCGUGGGGAGCGAACAGGAUUAGAAACCCUAGUAGUCC
rnacentral:rRNA from 1 species